rnacentral:rRNA from 1 species
GACGAACGCUGGCGCCGUGCUUAACACAUGCAAGCCGAACGGUAAGGCCCUUCGGGGUACACGAGUGGCGAACGGGUGAGUAACACGUGGGUGAUCUGCCCUGCACUUCGGGAUAAGCCUGGGAAACUGGGUCUAAUACCGGAUAGGACUCCUGGCUUCAUGGUUGGGGGUGGAAAGCUUUUGCGGUGUGGGAUGGGCCCGCGGCCUAUCAGCUUGUUGGUGGGGUAAUGGCCUACCAAGGCGACGACGGGUAGCCGGCCUGGGAGGGUGACCGGUCACGCUGGGACUGAGAUACGGCCCAGACUCCUACGGGAGGAAGCAGUGGGGAAUAUUGCACAAUGGGCGCAAGCCUGAUGCAGCGACGCCGCGUGAGGGAUGACGGCCUUCGGGUUGUAAACCUCUUUCAGCUAUGACGAAGCGCAAGUGACGGUAGUAGCAGAAGAAGGACCGGCCAACUACGUGCCAGCCGCCGCGGUAA